rnacentral:rRNA from 1 species
UACGGAAGGCAGCAGUGGGGAAUAUUGCACAAUGGGCGAAAGCCUGAUGCAGCUAUGCCGCGUGUAUGAAGAAGGCCUUAGGGUUGUAAAGUACUUUCAUCGGGGAGGAAAAAACAAAACUAAUAAUUUUAUUUCUUGACGUUACCCGAAAAAGAAGCACCGGCUAACUCCGCGCCAGCAGCCGCGGUAAUACGGAGGGUGCUAGCGUUAAUCAGAAUUACUGGGCGUAAAGAGCACGUAGGUGGUUUUUUUAAGUCAGAUGUGAAAUCCCUGGGCUUAACCUGGAACUGCAUUUUGAAACUGAAAUACUAGAGUAUCGUAGAGGGAGGUAGAAUUCUAGGUGUAGCGGUGAAAUGCGUAGAUAUCUGGAGGAAUACCUGUGGCGAAAGCGGCCUCCUAAACGAAUACUGACACUGAGGUGCGAAAGCGUGGGGAGCAAACAGGGAUUAGAUACCCGU